ensembl:lncRNA
CUUUGUUAAGCUCUUAACCUCCUACAAAGCUCCAGCAAUUUAAUCACGUUGAGAAAGCCUUUUCAGUUGGAAAGCCAAUGACAAGCAACGGCACACAGCAAAAUGCACGAAGGACAAAUCCAGCACCCUUUGAAAUCAACCCCUCGGAAAGAAGAAUUAGCAACCUGGACAGAGCUGCAGGCAACUCCAGCCCUCCUGCAUCUGCUGCUCGAUCACACUCACUCACAGCCAGCUCUGGUCCUUCCUCACCACACUGCAGAAAUCCUAGGAGAGCUGCAUAUCUAACAUCUCAGACAAACACAGACAAUGACCAGAAAAUUAAAACUGCCAGGAAUAAAAGAUAACACAAAGAGAGCCCUGAAGAAACUGCAGUAAGUUUCUUGACCAUUUUUAUCUACCUGAUUAUUCAUAUCAAGACAGUACUAACCAAGUCCAGAUCGGGAUGGGGAUGUAAGCAGUCCCUGGGGCUGCAAGGCUGCUCAGAACUUGGCACUCGAGAUCAGGC